rnacentral:rRNA from 1 species
GACGUAGGGGGCCAGCGUUGUUCGGAAUUACUGGGUGUAAAGGGUUCGUAGGCGGUGCGGCAAGUUGGGAGUGAAAUCUCUGGGCUUAACCCAGAGGCUGCUUCCAAAACUGCUGUGCUUGAGUGUGGGAGAGGCGCGUGGAAUUGCAGGUGUAGCGGUGAAAUGCGUAGAUAUCUGCAGGAAUACCGAUGGCGAAGGCAGGUCUCUGGGCUGACACUGACGCUCAUGCACGAAAGCGUGGGGAGCAAACAGG